UUAUAAUCGAUCGUCUAUGCCAUCAACCAAAACUUGGUUCUUGAGAAAAAGAAAUACGAUAACAGUAGCAUUCAUGCAAAAUCUAGUACAGAAAAUAGCACGUGACUUUUAUAGACAUUUGCUGGUCGAAUUUUGGAAACUCAGGUCACCAACCAUUCAACAGCAUUCCAGAACUCAGCUCAGAUUGCAGCUCCAGGCUCAUUCAGUGCCAGUCACUCCAUGCACUGCUCCUCAUGAGAAGUCACAAGAGAACACCACAAGCUUCAGUAACUAUACAGUUUUAUCUACCGUUUCCAUGGAACAAACAAGCAAACACAUCUACUGAUUCACCAGUACUAACAAGUCGGUGCCGAAACGAAACGAGGAGGAGGGUCCACCACGUCAGGAAUACCUAAGGGCGACGGGGAAGGCGAUCGCGAGGCGAUUGCUAGGCCGCCGCUAGGGUUAGGUUUUUCCGCACGGGGGUGAGAUUGGAUCUCCGGUGACUGCUCGAACGGCGACGGCGCUGUUCCCGCGGUUGAUCGGCGAAGGUUUUCUUCAGGAGCGCUCGUGUGGUGUGUCCAUGGCGGCGAACGAGAUCAGAGGGGCGACCACGGCGAGUCGGGAGGCCACCCCCCGCAAGCAUACGACGACGGCGUCUGCGCCGGCGGCAGCAGGGGAUUCAACGGCCCGGGGUGCUUCGGCGUCCCCGGCUGAUGGCAAGACUACGGCGGAGGCUGCCAGCCUCUCGGAGAGCUUUGGAGGACUGGUUCCGACGGACAAAGAGCGGCAAGGAUUCAUCUUCUCAGAUCCAGGUAUAUCUGGCCAUGGGCCGGGCCUAAAAAAGCCCAUGGCAGAAAAUUGAAGCCCAGGCCCUCCCAGGCCCUACCAUCGGACCUACUUUUCAAGCCCAAGCCCGACCCAUCUGGUAAAAAGCCCUGAAAAGCCCUUAGGGCUUAGGGUCAUGGGCCGGGCAUCUUCCUUAAAAUGCCAAUAUGCCAAGCCCAAGCCCGUCCAGGCCCUGCUAGUGGGCUCAAAACUUAGGCCCAAGCCUGGCCCACAGACAAGCCCAUCGGGCCUAGGCCCUAGAUUUUAGGGUCGGACCUGUGUGGGCCGACAGGGCCGGGCCUGAGAUGGCCAGGACUAGAUCCAGGCAUCCAAGCGAAGACGGUGAAGUGGUCGGCGGUGGGAAAAGUUUUCUCGCCAAGGCCUCUGAACAAAACUGCACUGGAAAGGGGAAAAAAGUAUAGAUACCCCCAGAACUAUCAGUUAAGGNNNNNNNNNNNNNNNNNNNNNNNNNNNNNNNNNNNNNNNNNNNNNNNNNNNNNNNNNNNNNNNNNNNNNNNNNNNNNNNNNNNNNNNNNNNNNNNNNNNNNNNNNNNNNNNNNNNNNNNNNNNNNNNNNNNNNNNNNNNNNNNNNNNNNNNNAGACUUAAUCCCCUGAACUAUGUCAAACCAGACAAAACACUCCCUAGACCCAUCUCGAGUGGUUUGGAAGGGCUGUUUUGCCUACGUGGAGGCCAGGACGAGCCCACCGGCCGGCCACGUCGAUAGGGGCGGGUUUGGGUGCGGUCUAAAUGACCCCCCCGAGCUGGUUCGACCCAGCCGCCCUCUCUGAAUUUGCACACCAAAUUUAGAAGUAUAUUGACAGCAAAAUUUUAUAUAUUCACAUGAUCUUCACAGGAAGUAUAGCAUUCAUAGAAACUUCGCCAGAAAAUUGCUAUGUUCAUAGGAAAUUCACAGGAACUAUAAUAUUGAGAAGCUUCAGUUCUCAUAAUAAGCAAUAGCAAAAGGAAACCAUACUUUCCAGAAACUGAUAGCAAAUUCCAUAACAUCAAAUUUGCCCUGACAACCUCUUAAGGUCUUUGACAUAGAAAAGAAAACAUCCACAAAAUACUACAGACAUUGGCAUGCUACUUGUGCAAGUAACUUGAUGUUGCACAUCAACAAAAGCACACACUUCAACAUGAUGUUACACAUCAAGUACAUGAGAUUUUCCCCACUGAUAAGAAAACUGGACAUUCACCUUUCUCCAGUUAGGAGUCAUUGCAGCCUGUCAAUAGUUGGCACUUGCAUGUGAAUUGAGCUUGAAUUUCUUGGAGCAGACUGUGAGCUUGAACCUACUCUGUUCUGACUCCUCAUCCUGCUUGUUCUCUCUACAGUAUGUUGAGAAGCUUGUUGUGAAGAUGAUCUUGUUGGAAAUAUGCCCUAGAGGCAAUAAUAAAAGUAUUAUUAUUAUAUUUCCUUGUUCAUGAUAAUUGUCUUUUAUUCAUGCUAUAACUGUAUUAUCCGGAAAUCGUAAUACACGUGUGAAUACAUAGACCACAAUAUGUCCCUAGUGAGCCUCUAGUUGACUAGCUCGUUGUGAUCAACAGAUAGUCAUGGUUUCCUGGCUAUGGACAUUGGACGUCGUUGAUAACGGGAUCACAUCAUUAGGAGAAUGAUGUGAUGGACAAGACCCAAUCCUAAGACUAGCACAAAAGAUCGUGUAGUUCAUUUGCUAGAGCUUUGCCAAUGUCAAGUAUCUCUUCCUUCGACCAUGAGAGCGUGUAACUCCUGGAUACCGUAGGAGUGCUUUGGGUGUAUCAAACGUCACAACGUAACUGGGUGACUAUAAAGGUGCACUACAGGUAUCUCCGAAAGUAUCUAUUGUUUUAUGCGGAUCGAGACUGGGAUUUGUCACUCCGUGUAAACGGAGAGGUAUCUCUGGGCCCACUCGGUAGGAUAUCAUCAUAUGCGCAAUGUGACCAAGGAGUUGAUCACGGGAUGAUGUGUUACGGAACGAGUAAAGUGACUUGCCGGUAACGAGAUUGAACAAGGUAUUGGAUACCGACGAUCGAAUCUCGGGCAAGUAACAUACCGAUAGACAAAGGGAAUUGAAUACGGGAUUGAUUAAGUCCUUGACAUCGUGGUUCAUCCGAUGAGAUCAUCGUGGAACAUGUGGGAGCCAUCAUGGGUAUCCAGAUCCCGCUGUUGGUUAUUGACCGGAGAACGUCUCGGUCAUGUCUGCAUGUCUCCCGAACCCGUAGGGUCUACACACUUAAGGUUCGAUGACGCUAGGGUUAUAAAGGAAGUUUGUAUGUGGUUACCGAAUGUUGUUCGGAGUCCCGGAUGAGAUCCCGGACGUCACGAGGAGUUCCGGAAUGGUCCGGAGGUAAAGAUUUAUAUAUGGGAAGUCCUAUUUUGGCCACCGGAAAAUGUUCGGGAUUUUUAGGUAUUGUACCGGGAAGGUUCUAGAAGGUUCCGGAGUGGGGCCCACCUGCAUGGGGGGACCCACAUGGACGUGGGUAGUGGGGGCAAGGCCCCACAACCCUGGUCAAGGCGCACCAAGAUCCCCCGUUAGAAGGAAUAAGAUCAUAUCCCGAAGGGAUAAGAUCAAGAUCCCUAAAAAGGGGGGAUAACAAUCGGUGGGGAAGGAAAUAAUGAGAUUUCUUUCCUCCCACCUUGGCCAACGCCCCAAUGGACUUGGAGGGCAAGAAACCAGCCCCUCCACCCCUAUAUAUAGUGGGGAGGCGCAUGGGAGCUAUACACGAAGUUCUGGCACAUCCCUACCUCUCUCCCUACUCCUCCUCUCCCAUGGUGCUUGGCGAAGCCCUGCUGGAUUGCCACGCUCCUCCACCACCACCACGCCGUUGUGCUGCUGUUGGAUGGAGUCUUCCUCAACCUCUCCCUCUCUCCUUGCUGGAUCAAGGCGUGGGAGACGUCACCGGGCUGUACGUGUGUUGAACGCGGAGGUGCCGUCCGUUCGGCACUAGGAUCAUCGGUGAUUUGAAUCACGACGAGUACGACUCCAUCAACCCCGUUCACUUGAACGCUUCCGCUUAGCGAUAUACAAGGGUAUGUAGAUGCACUCUCUUUCUACUCGUUGCUGGUCUCUCCAUAGAUAGAUCUUGGUGACACGUAGGAAAAUUUUGAAUUUCUGCUACGUUCCCCAACAGUGGCAUCAUGAGCUAGGUCUAUUGCGUAGAUUCUUUGCACGAGUAGAACACAAAGUAGUUGUGGGCGUUGAUGUUGUUCAAUAUGCUUACCGUUACUAGUCCAAUCUUGUUUCGACGGUAUUAUGGGAUGAAGCGGCCCGGACCGACCUUACACGUACUCUUACGUGAGACAGGUUCCACCGAUUGACAUGCACUUGGUGCAUAAGGUGGCUAGUGGGUGCCAGUCUCUCCCACUUUAGUCGGAACGGAUUCGAUGAAAAGGGUCCUUAUGAAGGGUAAAUAGCAAUUGGCAUAUCACGUUGUGGUCUUGCGUAGGUAAGAAACGUUCUUGCUAGAAACCCAUAUCAGCCACGUAAAACAUGCAACAACAAUUAGAGGACGUCUAACUUGUUUUUGCAGGGUAUGCUAUGUGAUGUGAUAUGGCCAAGAAGAAUGUGAUGAAUGAUAUGUGAUGUAUGAGAUUGAUCAUGUUCUUGUAAUAGGAUUCACGACUUGCAUGUCGAUGAGUAUGACAACCGGCAGGAGCCAUAGGAGUUGUCUUUAUUUAUUGUAUGACCUGCGUGUCAUUGAAGAACGCCAUGUAAACUACUUUACUUUAUUGCUAAACGCGUUAGUCAUAGAAGUAGAAGUAGUCGUUGGCGUGACAACUUCAUGAAGACACAAUGAUGGAGAUCAUGAUGAUGGAGAUCAUGGUGUCGUGCCGGUGACGAUGAUGAUCAUGGAGCCCCGAAGAUGAAGAUCAAAAGGAGCAAAAUGAUAUUGGCCAUAUCAUGUCACUAUUUGAUUGCAUGUGAUGUUUAUCAUGUUUAUGCAUCUUGUUUGCUUAGGACGACGGUAGUAAAUAAGAUGAUCCCUUACAAAAUUUCAAGAAGUGUUCUCCCCUAACUGUGCACCAUUGCUACAGUUCGUCGCUUCUAAGCACCACAUGAUGAUCGGGUGUGAUGGAUUCUUACGUUCACAUACAACGGGUGUAAGACAGUUUUACACAGCGAAAACACUUAGGGUUAACUUGACGAGCCUAGCAUGUGCAGACAUGGCCUCGGAACACGGAGACCGAAAGGUCGAGCAUGAGUCGUAUGGUAGAUACGAUCAACAUGAAGAUGUUCACCGAUGAUGACUAGUCCGUCUCACGUGAUGAUCGGACACGGCCUAGUUGACUCGGAUCAUGUGAUCACUUAGAUGACCAGAGGGAUGUCUAUCUAAGUGGGAGUUCAUAAGAUGAACUUAAUUAUCCUAAACAUAGUCAAAAGACCUUUUGCAAAUUAUGUCGUAAGCUCGCGCUUUAGUUCCACUGUUUAGAUAUGUUCCUAGAGAAAAUAUAGUUGAAAGUUGAUAGUAGCGAUUAUGCGAUCAGUAGAAAGCUUAUGUCCUUAAUGCACCGCUCAGUGUGCUGAACCCCAACGUCGUUUGUCGAUGUUGCGAACAUCGGACAUACACGUUUUGAUAACUACGUGAUAGUUCAAUUAAAUGGUUUAAGUAGAGGUACCAAAGACGUUUUCGAAACGUCGUGGAACAUAUGAGAUGUUUCGAGGGCUGAAAUUGGGAUUUCAGGCUCGUGCCCACGUCAAGAGGUAUAAGACCUCCGACGAUUUUCUUAGCCUGCAAACUAAGGGAGAAAAGCUCAAUCGUUGAGCUUGUGCUCAGAUUGUCUGAGCACAACAAUCACUUGAAUCGAGUGGGAGUUGAUCCUCCAGAUGAGAUAGUGAUGUUUCCCCAAAGUCAUUGCCACCAAGCUGCUAGAGCUUCGUGAUUAACUAUAACAUAUCAGGGAUAGAUAUGAUGAUCCUUGAAAUAUUCAUGAUGUUUGACACCGCGAAAGUAGAAAUCAAGAAGGAGCAUCAAUUGUUGAUGGUUGGUGAAACCACUAGUUUCAAGAAGGGCAAGGGAACAAAGGGAUACUUCAUGAAACGGCAAUUCAACUGCUGCUCUAGUGAAGAAACCCAAGGUUGAACCCAAACCCGAGACUAAGUGCUUCUGUAAUAAGGGGAACAACCACUGGAGCAGCAUUACCCUAGAUACUUGGUAGAUGAGAAGGCUAGCAAGGUCGAUAGAAGUAUAUUGGAUAUACAUUAUGUUAAUGUGUACUUUACUAGUACUCCUAGUAGCACCAGGGUAUUGGAUACCGGUUCGGUUGCUAAGUGUUAGUAACUCGAAAUAAAAGCUACGGAAUAAACGGAGACUAGUUAAAGGUGAGCUGACGAUAUAUGUUGGAAGUGUUUCCAAGGUUGAUAUGAUCAAGCAUCGCACGCUCCCUCUACCACCGAGAUUGGUGUUUGUGUUGAGCAUAGACAUGAUUGGAUUAUGUCUAUCGCAAUACGGUUAUUCAUUUAAGGAGAAUAAUGGUUACUCUAUUUUUGGAUAAUACCUUCAAUGGUCUUGCACCUAAAGGAAUGGUUUAUUGAAUCUCGGUCGUAGUGAUACACAUUUUCAUGCCAAAAGAUAUAAGAUAGUAAUGAUAGUACCACUUACUUGUGGCACUGCCAUGUAAUUCAUAAUGGUAUAAAACGCAUGAAGAAGCUCCAUGUUGAUGGAUCCUUGGACUCACUCGUUUUUGAAAAGUUUGAGACAUGCGCACCAUGUCUAUUGGUGUAUAUGCAUGAAGAAACUCCAUGCAAAUGGAUCGUUCGGACUCACUUGAUUUUGAAUCACUUGAGAUAUGCAAAUCAUACCACAUGGGCAAGAUGACUGAAAAGCCUCAUUUUCAGUAAGAUGGAACAAGAUAGCAACUUGUUGGAAGUAACACAUUUUGAUGUGUGCAGUCGAAUGAGUGCUGAGGCAUGCAGUGAAUAUCAUUAUGUUCUUGCUUCACAGAUGAUUCGAGUAAAUGUUGAGUAUAUUUACUUGAUGAAACACAAGUCUAAAUUAUUGAAUGGUUCAAGUAAUUUCAGAGUGAAGUAGCAGAUCAUUGUGACAAGAGGAUAAAAUGUCUAUGAUAUGAUCAUAGAGAUGAAUAUCUGAGUUACGAGUUUUGGCACACAAUUAAGACAUUGUGGAAAUUGUUUCGCAAUUAAUACCGCCUGGAACACCAUAAUGUGAUGGUGUGUCCGAACAUCAUAGUUGCACCCUAUUGGAUAUGGUGCGUACCAUGAUGUCUCUUAUCGAAUUACCACUAUCGUUCAUGGGUUAGGCAUUAGAGACAACCACAUUCACUUUAAAUAGGGCACCACGUAAUUCCGAUGAGAUGACACCGUAUGAAUUAUGGUUUAGAGAAACCUAAGUUGUCGUUUCUUAAAAGUUUGGGGCUGCGACGCUUAUAUGAAAAAGUUUCAGGUUGAUAAGCUCGAACCCAAAGCGGAUAAAAUGCAUCUUCAUAGGAAACCCAAAACAGUUGGGUAUACCUCCUAAUUUAGAUCCGAAAGCAAUAUGGAUUUUUUCUAGAAUCGGGUCCUUUCUCGAGGAAAAGUUUCUCUCGAAAGAAUUGAGUGGGAGGAUGGUGGAGACUUGAUGAGGUUAUUGAACCGUCUCUUCAACUAGUGUGUGACAGGGCACAGGGAGUUGUUCCUGUGGCACCUACACCAAUUGAAGUGGAAGCUUAUGAUAUUGAUCAUGAAACUUCGGAUCAAGUCACUCCCAAACCUCGUAGGAUGACAAGGAUGCGUACAACUUCAGAGUGGUACGUAAUCCUGUCUUGAAGGUCAUGUUGCUAGACAACAAUGAACCUACGAGCUAUGGAGAAGCGAUGGUGGGCCCGGAUUCCGAUAAAUGGCUUGAGGCCAUAAAAUCCGAGAGAGGAUCCAUGUAUGAAAACAAAGUGUAGACUUUGGCAGAACGGCUCGAUGGUCGUAAGGCUAAUGAGUACAGAUGGAUUUCAAAAGGAAGACGGACAAUGAUGGUAAAUGUCACCAUUAAGAAAGCUCGACUUGUUGUUAAGAUGUUUUCCGACAAGUUCAAGGAGUUGACUACGAUGAGAUUUUCUCACUCGUAGCGAUGCUAAGAGUCUGUUGGAAUUAUAUUAGCGAUUACUGCAUUAUUUAUGAAAUCUUGCAGAUAGGAUGUCAAAACAUUGUUUCCUCGAUGAUUUUAAUGAGGAAAGGUUGUAUGUGAUACAACCGGAAGGUUUUGUCAAUCCCGAAAGAUGCUAAUAAGUAUGCAAAGCUCCAGCAAUCCUUCUAAGGACUGGAGUGAGCAUCUCGGAGUUGGAAUGUAUGCUUUGAUGAUGAUCAAAAAUUUUGGGUUUGUACAAAGUUUAUGAGAAACUUGUAUUUCCAAAGAAGUGAGUGGGAGCACUAUAGAAUUUCUGAUGAGUAUAUGUUGUUGACAUAUUGUUGAUCAGAAAUGACGUAGAAUUUCUGGAAAGCAUAUAGGGUUAUUUUGAAAGUGUUUUUCAACGGAAAGCCUGGAUUAAGCUACUUGAACAUUGAGCAUCAAGAUCUAUAAGGAUAGAUCAAAAUGCUUAAUAAUACUUUUAAAUGAGCACAUACCUUGACAUGAUCUUGAAGGUGUUCAAGAUGGACCAGUCAAAGAAGGAGUUCUUGCCUGAGUUGUAAGGUACGAAGUUAAGACUUAAAGCUCGACCACGGCAGAAUAGAGAGAAAGGACGAAGGUCGUCCCCUAUGCUUAAGACGUAGGCUCUUCAGUAUGCUAUGCUGUGUACCGCACCUGAAGUGUGCCUUGCCAUGAGUCAGUCAAGGGGUACAAGAGUGAUCCAAGAAUGGCUCACAGGACAGCGGUCAAAGUUAUCCUUAGUAACUAGUGAACUAAGGAAUUUUCUCGAUUAUGGAGGUGGUAAAAGAGUUCGUCGUAAAGGUUACGACGAUGCAAGCUUGAAACCUAUCCGGAUAGCUCUGAGUAGAGAGACCGGAUACAUAUAAUGGAGCAAUAAUUUAGAAUAGCUCCAAGUAGAACAGUUGUUUGGAAUAGCUCCAAAUAGAGCGUGGUAGCUGCAUCUAGGAGAUGACAUAGAGAUUUGUAAAGCACACACGGAUCUGAAAGGUUCAGACCCGUUGACUAAAACCUCUCUCACAAGCAACAUGAUCAAACAUAAAACUCAUUGAGUGUUAAUCACAUAGUGAUGUGAACUAGACUACUGACUCUAGUAAACUCUUGGGUAUUAGUCACAUGGCGAUGUGACCUGUGAGUGUUAAUCACAUGGCGAUGUGAACUAGAUUAUUGACUCUAGUGCAAGUGGGAGACUGUUGGAAAUAUGCCCUAGAGGCAAUAAUAAAAGUAUUAUUAUUAUAUUUCCUUGUUGAUGAUAAUUGUCUUUUAUUCAUGCUAUAACUGUAUUAUCCGGAAAUCGUAAUACACGUGUGAAUACAUAGACCACAAUAUGUCCCUAGUGAGCCUCUAGUUGACUAGCUCGUUGUGAUCAACAGAUAGUCAUGGUUUCCUGGCUAUGGACAUUGGACGUCGUUGAUAACGGGAUCACAUCAUUAGGAGAAUGAUGUGAUGGACAAGACCCAAUCCUAAGACUAGCACAAAAGAUCGUGUAGUUCAUUUGCUAGAGCUUUGCCAAUGUCAAGUAUCUCUUCCUUCGACCAUGAGAGCGUGUAACUCCUGGAUACCGUAGGAGUGCUUUGGGUGUAUCAAACGUCACAACAUAACUGGGUGACUAUAAAGGUGCACUACAGGUAUCUCCGAAAGUAUCUAUUGUUUUAUGCGGAUCGAGACUGGGAUUUGUCAUUCCGUGUAAACGGAGAGGUAUCUCUGGGCCCACUCGGUAGGACAUCAUCAUAUGCGCAAUGUGACCAAGGAGUUGAUCACGGGAUGAUGUGUUACGGAACGAGUAAAGUGACUUGCCGGUAACGAGAUUGAACAAGGUAUUGGAUACCGACGAUCGAAUCUCGGGCAAGUAACAUACCGAUAGACAAAGGGAAUUGAAUACGGGAUUGAUUAAGUCCUUGACAUCGUGGUUCAUCCGAUGAGAUCAUCGUGGAACAUGUGGGAGCCAUCAUGGGUAUCCAGAUCCCGCUGUUGGUUAUUGACCGGAGAACGUCUCGGUCAUGUCUACAUGUCUCCCGAACCCGUAGGGUCUACACACUUAAGGUUCGAUGACGCUAGGGUUAUAAAGGAAGUUUGUAUGUGGUUACCGAAUGUUGUUCGGAGUCCCGGAUGAGAUCCCGGACGUCACGAGGAGUUCCAGAAUGGUCCGGAGGUAAAGAUUUAUAUAUGGGAAGCCCUAUUUUGGCCACCAGAAAAUGUUCGGGAUUUUUCGGUAUUGUACCGGGAAGGUUCUAGAAGGUUCCGGAGUGGGGCCCACCUGCAUGGGGGGACCCACAUGGACGUGGGUAGUGGGGGCAAGGCCCUACACCCCUGGUCAAGGCGCACCAAGAUCCCCCCUUAGAAGGAAUAAGAUCAUAUCCCGAAGGGAUAAGAUCAAGAUCCCUAAAAAGGGGGGAUAACAAUCGGUGGGGAAGGAAAUAAUGAGAUUUCUUUCCUCCCACCUUGGCCAACGCCCCAAUGGACUUGGAGGGCAAGAAACCAGCCCCUCCACCCCUAUAUAUAGUGGGGAGGCGCAUGGGAGCUAUACACGAAGUUCUGGCACAGCCCUACCUCUCUUCCUACUCCUCCUCUCCCAUGGUGCUUGGCGAAGCCCUGCUGGAUUGCCACGCUCCUCCACCACCACCACGCCGUUGUGCUGCUGUUGGAUGGAGUCUUCCUCAACCUCUCCCUCUCUCCUUGCUGGAUCAAGGCGUGGGAGACGUCACCGGGCUGUACGUGUGUUGAACGCGGAGGUGCCGUCCGUUCGGCACUAGGAUCAUCGGUGAUUUGAAUCACGACGAGUACGACUCCAUCAACCCCGUUCACUUGAACGCUUCCGCUUAGAGAUCUACAAGGGUAUGUAGAUGCACUCUCUUUCUACUCGUUGCUGGUCUCUCCAUAAAUAGAUCUUGGUGACACGUAGGAAAAUUUUGAAUUUCUGCUACGUUCCCCAACAGAUCUUGCUGGAGGUGCUUGUUGUGAAGAUGAUCUUGCUGGAGGUGCUUGCUUCUUUGCCCUCUUCGCUGGAUUAGGCGGUGCUCUAGAAGAUGAUGAUACUGCAUUGUUUGUCCUCUUUGGUGGUUGUGGCACCUGACAAAAAUAAUGAAAUAAUGAUCAGUGCUAGUUGCAACAUAUAUGACUGUUGAGGUUCAAAGAAAAGUAAUUACCUGAGUGUUGAUUUCUGAUUCCUUUUGCUUCUUCUUUCUUGCUCUUUGUGCUUCUCUUUUGUAGUUAUCUUUCUGCUUCUUAUCUCUAUUUGGAUUUCCCAAACACUUUCUUUUGUUGUGAUCAAAGCUCCCACAAACAGAACAUGAAAUUCUUAUGCCUUUUUUUGAAAGCUUGUUCCCCUGAGGUUUCUCACCCUCUUCUCUUCUUCUUUUAGUCUUUUUUCUUCCUGGCAUCACUCUAUGAGGAGGAGGAGGAGGUUUUGGCAUGUCAGCAACUGGCCAGUUCUCUUUUCCCUCCACUGGUUGCAGCACAUGGUCAUAAAUCUUGUUGUACUCAGAGAUAGAGUAGCAUGGAGCAAUAUAAUCAUCUAGUUUUUUACCACAUGUGUAAAUUGCACUGAUAGCAUGAGGACAGGGCAAACCAGCCAGUUCCCAAUAUCUGCAAGAACAUUUCCAUGCCUCCAAGUUAACUGUGUACCUCCGAUGCACAUCUUCUUGAACUUCAAAUCCUUCCUUCCCAUUCCAAAGAACCUGACAUAGCCCUGACCUCUUGAUGUUCAGCUUCAAUUUUUUGAAAACAUUAGGGCAAAUGGUUCCAGGCCAACUGUUAGAUUUGUCUCUAUUUUCCUGGAUCCUUACCAUGACCUUUUUCCUAAUAAUCUCAUUUGCUGUAAUAACAGGAAAGAACAUUGCCUUCAUUAUAGCAUUAUUGAAUGAUUCACACAGAUUAUUCUCUACCGAGUCACACCAAGAACCAAGCUUGAAGUAGGCCCUGCUCCAAUGCUCCGGUGCAGUUUUCAGGAUGUCUUUAGCUCCUUCCACACUUUUUGGGCUAGUUUCGCUCUAUUGUAAUUAAAUUGAGUAACAUCAGAUGAUUUGGCACAUGCCCAGAACAUCUUUUGCAGUUUUUUGUCUCUGUGCACCUUUCUCCAGUUAGCAUAAAUAUGCCUAGCACACAUCCUAUGCUCUGCUUCAGGCACAAUUUCAUUGACAGCCCUGAUAAGACCCUGCCAAAUGAUAUAAACAUGUUCAUUUGAGUAGAUGUGACUACAUAAAAAUGGCUAGGUUCACCACCUAUCUCCUCGAUAAAUUUAUAACAUGUGACUAGGUUCACCACCAACCUCCUCGACAAAUUUAUAACAUGUGACUAGGUCCACCACCUACCUCCUCGACAAUUUUAUAACAUGUGACUACAUCAAAAAGAACAACAUGAAGAAUAAACGUUUGCUUGUAAUGCCUUCUGUUGGUCAGAUAUGAAGACCCAUCCAUCUCCAUUGUUGCUUAUCUGAAGAUCCUUCUGAAGAAAUGACAGGAACCAGUACCAUGAGUCAUAUGAUUCAACCUCAACUGUAGCCCAAGCAAUGGGGUACAUCUGAUUGUUGGAAUCUCUGCCAAUAGCACAUAGUAUUUGGCCUGAGACUGACCCCUUCAGAAAGCACCCAUCUAGACCCACAACUCUUCUACACCCAGCUAGGAAACCCUUUUUGCAGGUAUCAAGACAAAUAUACAUUCUUUGGAAAACUGGCUUGUCAAAAAUUUCAGGAUCUAGAGUCACUGCCACUGUGCUUCCAGGAUUGCUUCUCACUAGUUCUAAGUGGUAGUCAUAGACUCUAGAAUACUCACCAUUAGUCAAAUUAGUGAGCUUUUCCAUGACUAACUUUUUUGCUCUCUUGCACUGGGACAAGCUAACAUCGGCUAGAAGAUCCUCAAGUACUGCCUCCUGCAUAUGCUCUACAUGCCAAGUAGGAUUAUGCCUGAUCUGUCUGAAAUACUUUUUGGCAAUGACCGUGCUUGUGACAAGCUUGUUGCCCCUCCUAGGAAUACAUGUGUGCUCAUUUUCAUACCUCACAACUAACAACCAAUCAGAUCUGCUACUAAUUGAGCCAUAGAUGCUCCAAGGACAACCAGGCCAGGAACAUUCUACACUGACCCUUUUCUUUUCAUCUUUUGGAAAUCUUAAAUGGUGGAAAUUUGCUAGCCCAUACUUAACCAGUACCUGUUUGAAUUCCCUGCUAUCACGAAAUGCCAUGCCUAGAGCAAAUUCUGGUUUGUCAGUACUGUCAUCAUAAACUCUGUGUGUUGUUUUCCUCCUUCUCACUUCACUUAUCUCUCCAUCACUACCUUCAUCAUAUGACAAGUCGUCAUCACUUUCAAAGUAUGGUGUGUCUUCUCCAUCUGAAUCAUCUAGCUUAAAUGUUUCUGGGACAAUAUACUCUUCAGGCACAUUGCAUGGUUUUCCCUCCUCUUCUCUCAGCAUGUUCUUUCUCACUUUGUCCUUCAAUUCUUUAGCAUAUUUUCUCAACCCUAGCACUUCAUCAUCAGAUGCUGAGCUAUUGCUCUCUGCCGGGGGAAUAGCAUAGUCACUGUCAGAUGAGCCAUCACUUUCAGUGUGUACUUCUUCAUCCUCAUCUAAAUGUGAUUUCCCUUUGUCCUGCAUUUGGCUGCUACCUCUCUUCACUGGCAAUUUAGCACUGCUACUGCUAGGCUGGUAAUACAUAUUGGAGUAUUGCCAAGCUUCUGGUUCUAAUAUAUGUUCAUCUGCAUUUGGAUUAUUUUGCUGCUCUUGUACAUGUUGCUGCUGGUCCUCUCCAUGAAGUUCUUGUUCCUCCUCUAAAUGAUGUUGAUGUUCCUCUGGAUACUCAUCCUGUGAAAAGUCAUCAGGUAUGUUGGAAUAUAUGUCCAUAACACCUGCAUCAGUGGCAUGUUUUGCCAUCUCUAACACUGAUUUUUGAUCAUGUAACAUCACCAGAGCACUACUCAUUGCACCAUCUCUUAUUAGACCAGGAAAUUUCCAAUGCAGUGUACUGUUGUUUAGUGCUUUCUCUAAACAUCUAACUGUUGGGGAACGUAGUAAUUUCAAAAAAAAUUCUACGCACACGCAAGAUCAUGGUGAUGCAUAGCAACGAGAGGGGGGAGUGUUGUCUACGUACCCUCGUAGACCGGAAGCGGAAGCAUUAGCACAACGCGGUUGAUGUAGUCGUACGUCUUCACGGCCCGACCGAUCAAGCACCGAAACUACAGCACCUCCGAGUUCUAGCACACGUUCAGCUCGAUGACGAUCCCCGGACUCCGAUCCAGCAAAGUGUCGGGGAAGAGUUCCGUCAGCAUGACGGCGUGGUGACGAUCUUGAUGUUCUACCGUCGCAGGGCUUCGCCUAAGCACCACUACAAUAUUAUCGAGGAUUAUGGUGGAGGGGGCACCACACACGGCUAAGAGAACGAUCACAAAGAUCAACUUGUGUGUCUAUGGGGUGCCCCCUGGCCACGUAUAUAAAGGAGUGGAGGAGGGGAGGGGGCGGCCCUCUCUAUGGCGCGCCCUAGGGGAGUCCUACUCCCAUCGGGAGUAGGAUUCCCCCUUUCCUAGUAGAACUAGGAGCCCUUCCAAGUAGUAGGAGUAGGAGGGGGGGGAAGGGAAGGGAAAAGGAGAAGGAAGGAAGGGGGCGCCCCCCCUUCCCUAGUCCAAUUCGGACCAAACCAAGGGGAGGGGUGCGGCCACCCUUGAGGCCCUUUUCCUUCUUUCCCGUAUGGCCCAAUAAGACCCAAUACGUAUUCCCGUAACUCUCCGGUACUCCAAAAAAUACCCGAAUCACUCGAACCAUUCCGAUGUCCGAAUAUAGUCGUCCAAUAUAUCGAUCUUUACGUCUCGACCAUUUCGAGACUCCUCGUCAUAUCCCCGAUCUCAUCCGGGACUCCGAACUCCUUCGGUACAUCAAAACUCAUAAACUCAUAAUAUAACUAUCAUCGAAACCUUAAGCGUGCGGACCCUACGGGUUCGAGAACUAUGUAGACAUGACCGAGACACGUCUUCGGUCAAUAACCAAUAGCGGAACCUGGAUGCUCAUAUUGGCUCCCACAUAUUCUACGAAGAUCUUUAUCGGUCAAACCGCAUAACAACAUAUGUUGUUCCCUUUGUCAUCGGUAUGUUACUUGCCCGAGAUUCGAUCGUCGGUAUCUCAAUACCUAGUUCAAUCUCGUUACCGGCAAGUCUCUUUACUCAUUCCAUAAUACAUCAUCUCGCAACUAACUCAUUAGUUGCAAUGCUUGCAAGGCUUUAGGUGAUGUGCAUUACCGAGAGGGCCUAGAGAUACCUCUCCGACAAUCGGAGUGACAAAUCCUAAUCUCGAAAUACGCCAACCCAACAAGUACCUUCGGAGACACCUGUAGAGCACCUUUAUAAUCACCCAGUUACGUUGUGACGUUUGGUGGCACACAAAGUGUUCCUCUCGUAAACGGAAGUUGCAUAACCUCAUAGUCAUGGGAACAUGUAUAAGUCAUGAAGAAAGCAAUAGCAACAAAUUUAACGAUCAAGUGCUAUGCUAACGGAAUGGGUCAAGUCAAUCACAUCAUUCUCCUAAUGAUGUGAUCUUGUUAAUCAAAUGACAACUCAUGUCUAUGGUUAGGAAACAUAACCAUCUUUAAUCAACGAGCUAGUUAAGUAGAGGCAUACUAGUGACACUCUGUUUGUCUAUGUAUUCACACAUGUAUUAUGUUUCCGGUUAAUACAAUUCUAGCAUGAAUAAUAAACAUUUAUCAUGAUAUAAGGAAAUAUAUAAUAACUUUAUUAUUGCCUCUAGGGAAUAUUUCCUUCAGUCUCCCACUUGCACUAGAGUCAAUAAUCUAGUUCACAUCGCCAUGUGAUUUAACAUCAAUAGUUUACAUCACCAUGUGAUUAACACCCAUAGUUCACAUCGACAUGUGACCAACACCCAAAGGGUUUACUAGAGUCAAUAAUCUAGUUCACAUCGCUAUGUGAUUAACACCCAAAGAGUACUGAGGUGUGAUCAUGUUUUGCUUGUGAGAGAAUUUUAGUCAACGGGUCUGCCACAUUCAGAUUCGUAAGUAUUUUGCAAAUUUCUAUGUUAAGAAUGCUCUGCACAGAGCUACUCUAGCUAAUUGCUCCCAGUUUCAAUAUGUAUCCAGAUUGAGAUUUACAGUCAUCGGGAUCGGUGUCAAAAUUUGCAUCGACGUAACCCUUUACGACGAACCUUUUGUCACUUCCAUAAUCGAGAAACAUAUCCUUAUUCCACUAAGGAUAAUUUUGACCAAUGUCCAGUGAUCUACUCCUAGAUCACUAUUGUACUCCUUUGCCAAACUCAGGACAGGGUAUACAAUAGGUAUGGUACACAGCAUGGCAUACUUUAUAGAACCUAUGGCUGAGGCAUAGGGAAUGACUUUCAUUCUCUCUCUAUAUUCUGUCGUGGUCGGGUUUUGAGUCUUACUCAACUUCACACCUUGUAACACAGGCAAGAACUUCUUCUUUGACUGUUCUAUUUUUAACUACUUCAAAAUCUUGUCAAGGUAUGUACUCAUUGAAAAAACUUAUCAAGCAUCUUGAUCUAUCUCUAUAGAUCUUGAUGCUCAAUAUGUAAGCAGCUUCACCGAGGUCUUUCUUUGAAAAACUCCUUUCAAAUACUCCUUUAUGCUUUGCAGAAUAAUUCUACAUUAUCUCCAAUCAACAAUAUGUCUUCCACAUAUACUUAUCAGAAAUGUUGUAGUGCUCCCACUCACUUUCUUGUAAAUACAGGCUUCACUGCAAGUCUGUAUAAAACUAUAUGCUUUGAUCAACUUAUCAAAGCGUAUAUUCCAACUCCGAGAUGCUUGCACUAGUCCAUAGAUGGAUCGCUGGAGUUUGCAUAUUUUGUUAGUACCUUUAGGAUUGACAAAACCUUCUGGUUGCAUCAUAUACAACUCUUCUUUAAUAAAGCCAUUAAGGAAUGCAGUUUUGUUUAUCCAUUUGCCAGAUUUCAUAAAAUGCGGCAAUUGCUAACAUGAUUCAGAUAGACUUAAGCAUAGAUACGAGUGAGAAGUUCUCAUCGUAGUCAACACCUUGAACUUGUCGAAAACCUUUUUGCGACAAUUCUAGCUUUGUAGAUAGUAACACUACUAUCAGCGUCCGUCUUCCUCUUGAAGAUCCAUUUAAUCUCAAUGGCUCGCCGAUCAUUGGGCAAGUCAAUCAAAGUCCAUACUUUGUUCUCAUACAUGGAUCUCAUCUCAGAUUUCAUGGCCUCAAGCCAUUUCACGGAAUCUGGGCUCAUCAUCGCUUCCUCAUAGUUCGUAGGCUCGUCAUGGUCAAGUAACAUGACCUCCAGAACAGGAUUACCGUACCACUCUGGUGCGGAUAUCACUCUGGUUUACCUACGAGGUUCGGUAGUAACUUGAUCUUAAGUUACAUGAUCAUCAUCAUUAGCUUCCUCACUAAUUGGUGUAGUAGUCACAGGAACAGGUUUCUGUGAUGAACUACUUUCCAAUAAGGGAGCAGGUAAAGUUACCUCAUCAAGUUCUACUUUCCUCCCACUCACUUCUUUCGAGAGAAACUCCUUCUCUAGAAAGGAUCCAUUCUCAGCAACGAAUAUCUUGCCUUCGGAUCUGUGAUAGAAGGUGUACCCAACAUUUUCUUUUGGGUAUCCUAUGAAGACGCACUUCUCCGAUUUGGGUUUGAGCUUAUCAGGUUGAAACUUUUUCACAUAAGCAUUGCAACCUCAAACUUUAAGAAACAACAUCUUAGGUUUCUUGCCAAACCAUAGUUCAUACGGUGUCAUCUCAACGGAUUUAGAUGGUGCCCUAUUUAACGUGAAUGUAGCUGUCUCUAAUGCAUAACCCCAAAACGAUAGCGGUAAAUCAGUAAGAGACGUCAUAGAUCGCACCAUAUCUAAUAAAGUACGGUUGCGACGUUCGGACACACCAUUACAUUGUGGUGUUCCAGGUGGCGUGAGUAGUGAAACUUUUUCACAUUGUUUUAACUGAAGGACAAACUCGUAACUCAAAUAUUUACUUCUGCGAUCAUAUCGUAGAAACUUUUAUUUUUAUUACGAUGAUUCUCCACUUCACUCUAAAAUUCUUUGAACUUUUCAAAUAUUUCAGACUUGUGUUUCAUCAAGUAGAUAUACUCAUAUAUGCUCAAAUCAUCUGUGAAGAUCAAAAAAUAAUGAUACCUGCCACGACCCUCAAUAUUCAUCGGACCACAUACAUCAGUAUGUAUGAUUUCCAACAAAUCUGUUGCUCGCUCCAUUGUUCUGGAGAAUGGAGUCUUAGUCAUCUUGCCCAUGAGGCAUGGUUCGCAAGCAUCAAGUGAUUCAUAAUCAAGUGAUUCCAAAAGUCCAUCGGCAUGGAGUUUCUUCAUGUGUUUUACACCAAUAUGACCUAAACAGCAGUGCCACAAAUAAGUUGCACUAUCAUUAUUAACUUUGCAUCUUUUGGUUUCAAUAUUAUGAAUAUGUGUAUCACUACGAUCGAGAUCCAACGAACCAUUUUCAUUGGGUGUGUAACCAUAUAAGAUUUUAUUCAUGUAAACAGAACAACAACUUAUUCUCUUACUUAAAUGAAUAAUUGUAUUGCAAUAAACAUGAUCAAAUCAUAUUCAUGCUCAACGCAAACACCAAAUAACACUUAUUUAGGUUCAACACUAAUCCCAAAAGUAUAGGGAGUGUGCGAUGAUGAUCAUAUCAAUCUUUGAACCACUUCCAACACACAUCGUCACUUCACCCUUAACUAGUCUCUGUUCAUUCUGCAACUCCCGUUUCGAGUUACUACUCUUAGCAACUGAACCAGUAUCAAAUACCGGGGGGGUUGCUAUGAACACUAGUAAAAUACACAUCAAUAAUCCGUAUAUCAAAUAUACCUUUGUUCACUUUGCCAUCCUUCUUAUCCGCCAAAUACUUGGGGCAGUUCUACUUCCAGUGACCAGUCCCUUUACAGUAGAAGCACUUAGUCUCAGGCUUAGGACCAGACUUGGGCUUCUUCACUUGAUCAGCAACUUGCUUGCCGUUCUUCUUGAAGUUCCCCUUCUUCCCUUUGCCCUUUUCUUGAAACUAGUGGUCUUGUCUACCAUCAACACUUGAUAUUUUUCUUGAUUUCUACCUUCAUUGAUUUCAGCAUUGCGAAGAGCAUGGGAAUCGUUUCUAUUAUCCCUUGCAUAUCAUAGUUCAUCACGAAGUUCUACUAACUUGGUGAUGGUGACUAGAGAAUUCUGUCAAUCACUAUCUUAUCUGGAAGAUUAACUCCCACUUGAUUCAAGCGAUUGUAGUACCCAGACAAUCUGAGCACAUGCUCACUGUUUGAGCUAUUCUCCUCCAUCUUUUAGCUAUAGAACUUGUUGGAGACUUCAUAUGUGCACUAAACUAUCAAGUAGUCAUCAUAUUGAGCUAGCCAAACAUUCAUAACGUCUGCAUCUGCUCCUGCAAUAGGUUUUGUCACCUAGCGGUGCAUCAAGGACAUAAUUCUUCUGUGCAGCAAUGAGGAUAAACCUCAGAUCACGGAUCCAAUCCACAUCUUUGCUACUAACAUCUUUCAACUUAGUUUUCUCUAGGAACAUAUAUAAAACAUAGGGAAGCAACAACGCGAGCUAUUGAUCUACAACAUAGAUAUGCUAAUACUACCAGGACAAAGUUCAUGAUAAAUUGAAGUUCAAUUAAUCAUAUUACUUAAGAACUCCCACUUAGAUAGAUAUCCCUCUAAUCCUCUAAGUGAUCACGUGAUCCAAAUCAACUAAACCAUGUCCGAUCAUCACGUGAGAUGGAGUAGUUUCAACGGUGAACAUCACUAUGUUGAUCAUAUCUACUAUAUGAUUCACGCUCGACCUUUCGGUCUCCGUGUUCCAAGGCCAUAUCUGUUAUAUGCUAGGCUCGUCAAGUUUAACCUGAGUAUUCCGCGUGUGCAACUGCUUUGCACCCGUUGUAUUUGAACGUAGAGCCUAUCACACCCGAUCAUCACGUGGUGUCUCAGCACGAAGAACUUUCGCAAUGGUGCAUACUCAGGGAGAACACUUAUACUUUAAUAAUUUAGUGAGGGAUCAUCUUAUAAUGCUACCGUCAAUCAAAGCAAGAUAAGAUGCAUAAAAGAUAAACAUCACAUGCAAUCAAUAUAAGUGAUAUGAUAUGGCCAUCAUCAUCUUGUGCUUGCGAUCUCCAUCUUCGAAGCACCGUCAUGAUCACCAUCGUCACCGGCGCGACACCUUGAUCACCAUCGUAGCAUCGUUGUCGUCUCGCCAAUCUUAUGCUUCCACGACUAUCGCUACCGCUUAGUGAUAAAGUAAAGCAUUACAGCGCAAUUGCAUUGCAUACAAUAAAGCGACAACCAUAUGGCUCCUGCCAGUUGCCGAUAACUCGGUUACAAAACAUGAUCAUCUCAUACAAUAAAAUUUAGCAUCAUGUCUUGACCAUAUCACAUCACAACAUGCCCUGCAAAAACAAGUUAGACGUCCUCUACUUUGUUGUUGCAAGUUUUAUGUGGCUGCUACGGGCUUAGCAAGAACCGUUCUUACCUACGCAUCAAAACCACAACGAUAGUUUGUCAAGUUGGUGAUGUUUUAACCUUCGCAAGGACCGGGCGUAGCCACACUUGGUUCAACUAAAGUUGGAGAAACUGACACCCGCCAGCCACCUGUGUGCAAAGCACGUCGGUAGAACCAGUCUCGCGUAAGCGUACGCGUAAUGUCGGUCCAGGACGCUUCAUCCAACAAUACCGCCGAACCAAAGUAUGACAUGCUGGUAAGCAGUAUGACUUAUAUCGCCCAUAACUCACUUGUGUUCUACUCGUGCACAACAUCAACGCAUAAAAGCUAGGCUCGGAUGCCACUGUUGGGGAACGUAGUAAUUUCAAAAAAAAUCCUACGCACACGCAAGAUCAUGGUGAUGCAUAGCAACGAGAGGGGAGAGUGUUGUCUACGUACCCUCGUAGACCAGAAGCGGAAGCGUUAGCACAACGUGGUUGAUGUAGUUGUACGUCUUCACGGCCCAACCGAUCAAGCACCGAAACUACGGCACCUCCAAGUUCUAGCACACGUUCAGCUCGAUGACGAUCCCCGGACUCCGAUCCAGCAAAGUGUCGGGGAAGAGUUCCAUCAGCACGACGGCGUGGUGACGAUCUUUAUAUUCUACCGUCGCAGGGCUUCGCCUAAGCACCGCUACAAUAUUAUCGAGGAUUAUGGUGGAGGGGGGCACCGCACACGGCUAAGAGAACGAUCACAAAGAUCAACUUGUGUGUCUAUGGGGUGCCCCCUGGCCACGUAUAUAAAGGAGUGGAGGAGGGGAGGGGCCGACCCUCUCUAUGGCGCGCCCUAGGGGAGUCCUACUCCCACCGGGAGUAGGAUUCCCCCUUUCCUAGUAGAACUAGGAGCCCUUCCAAGUAGUAGGAGUAGGAGGGAAGGAAAGGGAAGGGAAAAGGAGAAGGAAGGAAGGGGGCGCCCCCCUUCCCUAGUCCAAUUCGGACCAGACCAAGGGGAGGGGUGCGGCCACCCUUGAGGCCCUUUUCCUUCUUUCCCAUAUGACCCAAUAAGGCCCAAUACGUAUUCCCGUAACUCUCCGGUACUCCGAAAAAUACCCGAAUCACUCGGAACCUUUCCGAUGUCCGAAUAUAGUCGUCCAAUAUAUCGAUCUUUACGUCUUGACCAUUGCGAGACUCCUCGUCAUAUCCCCGAUCUCAUCCGGGACUCCGAACUCCUUCGGUACAUCAAAACUCAUAAACUCAUAAUAUAACUGUCAUCGAAACCUUAAACGUGCGGACCCUACAGGUUCGAGAACUAUGUAGACAUGACCGAGACACGUCUCCGGUCAAUAACCAAUAGCGGAACCUGGAUGCUCAUAUUGGCUCCCACAUAUUCUACGAAGAUCUUUAUCGGUCAGACCGCAUAACAACAUACGUUGUUCCCUUUGUCAUCGGUAUGUCACUUGCCCAAGAUUCAAUCGUCGGUAUCUCAAUACCUAGUUCAAUCUCGUUACCGGCAAGUCUCUUUACUCGUUCUGUAAUACAUCAUCUCGCAACUAACUCAUUAGUUGCAAUGCUUGCAAGGCUUUAGGUGAUGUGCAUUACCGAGAGGGCCCAGAGAUACCUCUCCGACAAUCGGAGUGACAAAUCCUAAUCUCGAAAUACGCCAACCCAACAAGUACCUUCAGAGACACCUGUAGAGCACCUUUAUAAUCACCCAGUUACGUUGUGACGUUUGGUGGCACACAAAGUGUUCCUCUGGUAAACGGGAGUUGCAUAAUCUCAUAGUCAUAGGAACAUGUAUAAGUCAUGAAGAAAGCAAUAGCAACAAAUUAAACGAUCAAGUGAUAUGCUAACGGAAUGGGUCAAGUCAAUCACAUCAUUCUCCUAAUGAUGUGAUCCCGUUAAUCAAAUGACAACUCAUGUCUAUGGUUAGGAAACAUAACCAUCUUUAAUCAACGAGCUAGUUAAGUAGAGGCAUACUAGUGACACUCUGUUUGUCUAUGUAUUCACACAUGUAUUACGUUUCCGGUUAAUACAAUUCUAGCAUGAAUAAUAAACAUUUAUCAUGAUAUAAGGAAAUAUAUAAUAACUUUAUUAUAUGCCUCUAGGGCAUAUUUCCUUCACUAACAUGGUCUGCAAGAUUGUUUUUCAGUUCUUCGAGGCUCAAUUUUGACAGAUGAACCAUGGACAUGCCAUGUGUACCACCCAAAUACUGCCACUCUGUACCAUCAUGGUGAAAUUCCCCUCCGAAAUGAAACCUGAUUGAAAGAUAAUCCAAAGGAUCCAUGCCUCAAAUAUGCUCAAGAAAAUGAAAAAAAUUCUGAAUAAAUAAACCUGCUUUCAGUUCAAUCAUAACUAAAUCAACCCUAAAUACUCUAAUCCGAGGGAAAUCAGAGCAACAAAAUAGUCAUACAUAAACUACAGAAUCAAGCACUACAUACAUGGCAACAAGAAAAAGAAAAAACCCUAGAUGAUGUCGAAAUCCCCCAAAAUCACAUCAACUCCAACCUAAAACAGAGAAGAAAGGAGGGAUUUCAGCCGAUACAUACGGGUCUCCAUAUCGAUGUGACUAACCUGUUGUCGCGCCGGAGAAUGAUGCUCUGUUCAUGCCGUCAAUGGCUCACCGCCAGACCUCGUUGCUGCCGUCGGAGGGAGAUUGGAAAGGCGAACAGAGGAAGGGAGGCGAACAGGCAGGGAAGAGAGGGCGGCUGGGUCGAACCAGCUCGGGGGGGUCAUCUAGACCACACCCAAACCUGCCCCUAUCGACGUGGCCGGUCGGUGGGCUUGUCCUGGCCUCCACGUAGGAAAAACAGCCCUUCCAAACCACUCGAGAUGGGUCUAGGGGGUGUUUUGUCUGGUUUGACAUAGUUCAGGGGAUUAAGUCUCUGGUUUUAGACGUGUGGGGGUUAUCUGUCCCUUAACUGAUAGUUCUGGGGGGGUAUCUAUACUUUUUUCCUGGAAAGGGCGAUGCCACGGGCGUGGGGAUUGCACAAGGAGGCAAAGUUCAAGGAUAUCGGGAAUAACAUCUUUGAGGUGAGGUUUGGCAGCGAAGGUGAUUGGCGUCAUGCACUCAAUAAUGGCCCGUGGCAAUUUGACUUCCAUGUGCUCGUGUUAAAGGAUUAUGUGGGAGAUGUUCGUCCUUCUGAGAUGGUCUUUGAUACGGUGGAGAUGUGGGUGAGAGUCCCGGAUCUGCCAUUAGACAUGAGGACGAAAUCAUUUGGAAAAGCUUUGGGAGAUUGGUUGGGAGAAGUGGUGAAAGUAGAUGUUGAGAAGGAUGGCUUUGCUAAAGGGAAGUAUCUUAGAGUGCGGGCUAAAAUCUCGAUCUUUGAGCCCUUGAUCCAUCGUGCCCGGCUAAGGACCUCACUGGAGGACUUGGAGGGGACGUGGUGUGAUUUUACCUACGAAAAGAUCCCGCAUUUUUGCUUUGAUUGUGGUAGACUUGUGCAUGGUAAGGGUGUGUGUGAGGCGCCAGUGGAUCGCUCAAGUCGAUGGGGCCUCUGGCUUAGAGCUUCACCAGGAAGGGGUUCUUCAUCGCUGAAGGAGAAUUCGCAUGUUGGGGCGUCCAGUUCUUUUACUGGUGGGGGCUCACGUUCUGAUGACAAGGAUAAAUCGAAGUACAGUAAAGCUUCUGCUCGGGAACAACUUGUUAAAAGGAACUUAAACGCGACGUUUUCACAAUCGACUAACUCUUGCACUGGCGGAGUAACGCCGAAGGAGCAGAGGGAGGUGAACAGCCCAACAAAGAGAGCUUCACACAUGGAUGAUAUGCACAGCAGUGAUCUGAGGAGGAAGUUGGAGCAGAAAAAAGAAAAAGAGCUAAGGGCUGAAUUGACUAGACGGCAAGAAGAAGGGAGGAGUGGUUCUCCACGUCGGGAACAGGGCCAUACAACCACUAAACCAGACGUGCGGCAGCGCGGGUCGGCUACCGAUGGGGCCUGGCGCCAUGCAGGUGCGUAUCGCGAGGCGAACAGCCAUGUAGAUCGUGGGGCGGAGGCGAGGCACCGUUCGGCUUCCCAUGUAGAUGAUCGGCUGGACCGGGCUGGUCGCGAUGAUUAUUUCAGCCAUGUUUCGCCAGGGCAGAGAGACAGGAUUCGAGGUAGAUAUAUCCGCAGGCCAAGGUACCUGGGCGAAAUGGAGAGAGGCUCACACCAGGUUUAUAGAGAGAAGGAGUCAGGAAGAAAGCGUCCCCCAAAACAGGUGUGGGUAGCCAAAGGUGACCCGGAUAGAACGGUACAUCAUGAUACGUUCAUUAGAGAGACGAGGCAGAAGACAACUUCUGUUUUUGAUUGUAUGGAAGACUCUAAGGCAUCGGCGGACCUCGCAGGGCGGGGCCGCCGGGACCAAUGAAUUGCUUGGCCUAGAACUGUCGAGGACUGGGGUUGGACUCGACAGUAGGCGAACUUCGGGACCUCAUACAGUCACACAACCCAGUGGUGGUUUUCUUAUCAGAAACAAAAAAGAGUGCGAAGGCUAUGGAGAGAUUGAAGUGGAGACUUGGUUUCAGAAGCGGAGUGGCUGUGGAUUGUAAUGGGAGGAGUGGAGGACUUGCAUUAUGGUGGAGAGAGCAUAUACAAGUCACUAUCAGGCCAUGGUGCCCGUACUUUAUUGAUGCUGAGAUUACCUCGGAUGGGCAAACUUGGAGAUUCACUGGAAUCUAUGGGGAGCCCAAAACGGAGUUGAGGAAGAAGACUUGGGAUGCGAUUAGAUACUUAAGGUCCCAGGAUGAGCUACCAUGGCUAUGUGUGGGGGGCUUUAAUGAAGUCCUUGUAAGAUCAGAACAAAGUGGCGGCAACCCGAGGAGUUUUGCCCAAAUGCAGGCGUUCAAUGACUGCCUAACUGACUGCGGUUUGGCGGACUUGGGCUUCUCGGGCUAUCAGUUUACAUGGGACAAUAAACAAGCAAACCAGGACAAUGUUCAAGUCAGGUUAGAUAGGGCAACCUGCACCGGUGAUUUUAUGGGUUUGUUUCCGGGCACGGCCGUGGAGAACAUUCUCACGGAGGAAUCUGAUCACAUGGCAAUCCUGGUGCGAGUUCGGGAUAUGGAGACAAUGCAACCGAGGGGGGACCGCCCCUUUCGGUUCGAGGAAAUGUGGCUGCGGCACGAGGGCUAUGAGGCGAUGAUGCAGCGGACAUGGGAGCAAGUGCGGGGGCGGAACAAGUCUCCCAGACAGGUGUGUGGCAGGCUACAUGAAAUAACAAAGUCGCUGCGCGGAUGGGGGCGCAUGGUGUUUGGGUCAAUUAGGAGGCAAAUUCAAAGGCUAAAAACAGACUUCUUGGAUGCAAAAGAGCGAGCCUUAGUCACUGGACUAACGGCGGAAGUGCGCGAGAUUGAGGGUCAGCUAAAGGAAGUUUAUGAAAGGGAGGAGAUUAUGCAGAAACAACGCUCACGUGUAGACUGGCUCAAGGCGGGGGACCGGAAUACCCAAUAUUUCCAGAACCGGGCCUCCCAUCAUAAGAGAAAGAACACGGUGAAGUCGUUGCGGUGGGAAAAUGGUACGAGGUGUACGGAUAAUGAUGGCAUGCGGGAGCUGGCGGCUUCAUUCUAUGAGCACCUAUUCGCAUCAAAGGGAUCCACCCAGCCAGAGAGGCUACUAGAUCUUUUUCACCCUGUCAUUUCUGAGGAUAUGAAUGGUAAGCUGACAGCGCCUAUUUUAGAUGAUGAGAUUGAGCGGGCACUGUUUCAGAUGGGGCCUACGAAAGCUCCCGGACCGGAUGGCCUACCUGCCUUGUUUUAUCAGAGACACCGGUCUCUGUUAAAAGAGGACGUGUGUGCAGCAGUUAGGGGGUUUCUGUCAGGGGAAGCUACUCCGGAUUCGUUUAAUGACACUGUGAUAGUGAUGAUACCGAAAGUUAGCUCACCAGAGCUGAUGUCUCAGUUUAGGCCAAUAAGUUUGUGUAAUGUGCUCUAUAAGAUUGCUACUAAAGUUUUGGCUAAUAGGCUCAAGAGGAUCUUACCGGUGUUGAUUUCUGAGGAACAGAGCGCCUUUGUACCAGGGAGGCUCAUGACAGAUAAUAUUUUAGUGGCCUAUGAGUGCACCAAUGCCAUUAGAACGAGGAAGAGGAAGACUCCGUUGUGUGCAGUGAAGCUAGAUAUGAUGAAGGCGUAUGAUCGAGUUGAAUGGAUCUUCUUAGAGCAUAUGUUGGUUAGAUUUGGUUUCGAUCAAAGGUGGGUUCAGAUGAUUAUGCGAUGUGUCACCUCGGCGCGUUUUUCUGUGAAACUUACGGUGGCUUCUCGAGACCUUUCCUCCCAUCCAGAGGACUACGACAGGGUGAUCCUCUUUCGCCAUACCUUUUCCUAUUUUGUGUGGAAGGUUUUUUUGCUCUACUAAGGGCUACACAGAAUGAGAAUAAUCUCAAGGGGGUGUCAUUUGGGAGCACUGGCCCCCAUGUCACUCACCUUCUAUUCGCGGACGAUAGUAUUGUCUUUCUGGAGGGGAACCGCGGCAGUUUUGAGGCGUUGAGGGACAUACUUAGAGUUUAUGAGGAAGCCUCGGGACAAAAGGUAAAUCUUCAAAAGUCUUCAGUGUUCUUUGGUAAAGGAUGUAGGGAUGCAAGUAAGGCUGAAUUGCUUGGGGUUAUUGGCAUCAACUCUGAAGCUUUGAGUGAAAGGUAUUUAGGACUGCCGACACUGGUUGGGAAGUCCAAAGAGGGGACUUUUAAAUAUGUUAAAGAGAGCUCUGCGGGGAAAGUAACAGGAUGGAAGGGGCAAGGGCUGUCAAAAGCGGCAAGGGAGGUCCUAGUCAAGUCGGGACUCCAAGCCACACCAACUCUCACUAUGAGCUGCUUCCAACUCACCAAGAAAAUGUGCCGGAACCUGACUUCUAUUUCGUCUAACUUCUGGUGGGGAGAAGCAAAUGGGGAGAGGAAGGUGCACUGGCUUGCAUGGAAAAAGAUGUGUAGGGCUAAGAAAGAAGGAGGAAUGGGCUUUCGGGAUCCAGAAGCUUUUAACCAAGCUCUGCUGGCCAAACAAGCCUGUCGCGUGCUGCAGUACCCAGAUUCUUUGUGUGCUAGGGUGCUCAAGGCAAGGUAUUUCCCCCAUGGAUCAAUCUUGAAUGCCACCUGCCCUGCUGGCGGCUCGUUCACUUUCAGAAGUAUUAUUCAUGGUCGGGAGCUGUUGCGUGAGGGACUAGUGUGGAGGAUUGGAGAUGGCACAUCGAUAAAAAUCCACCAUGAUAACUGGCUCCUGCGCCAGGGAAGCCUUAAGCCACUUGGGCAGCAGUACAUUGCAGGGAUCACUCAUGUGCGCUACCCUGAAUGAAUCCGGUGUUGCAUGGGACAUGGCUAAGGUGGAAAUGAUGUUUACUCCUGGGGAUGUGGAGGAUAUAAAGCAGAUUGUGAUAGGUGGGCCGAAUAUGAGGGAGUAUGUGGCAUGGAACUUCACCAAUAAUGGACAAUUUUUAGUCAAGUCGGCAUAUCAUCUUCGCAUGAGUUUGAAUGGUGUCAAGACCGGACAGUCGGGUUCUUCGAUGCCAAGAAGGGAGCAUAAAUCAUGGAUGGCGCUGUGGGACACUAACGCUCCGGGGAAGGCAAAGAUCCAUGCAUGGCGCCUCUUGAAGAACGGGCUGGCUGUUGGCUCCGAGCUCCAUCGGCGUCGAAUAAAGUCGGGCGUGUUUUGCUGUGCAUGUGGACGCGAAGAGACGACGUAUCACCGGUUCUGGGAGUGCCCUCAUUCAGCGAUGUUUUGGAAAUACCUGUGUGAAGACAAGGGCGAGUCGGUGAUGCUGCCGCCGAUGAUGGAUGGCUCACUUAACAGCUUGGUUUCUUGGCUGAAGGGCUGGUUUGCCGACGCGGGAGCAGCAGAAAGAGAGACGAUGAUUCAUGCCCUCUAUGGUCUAUGGUGCGCAAGGAAUGAAACGCGCGAUGGGAAAAGAAUCCAGGACGCUGGUGAGCUAGCUUAGAAAGUGCACGCACAUAUACAAGAGUGGCGCCAAGUUCAUAUGGAGGAGCGGAACACCAAGGAAACAAGGAGACCGGACAAGUGGAAGCCGCCNNNNNNNNNNNNNNNNNNNNNNNNNNNNNNNNNNNNNNNNNNNNNNNNNNNNNNNNNNNNNNNNNNNNNNNNNNNNNNNNNNNNNNNNNNNNNNNNNNNNNNNNNNNNNNNNNNNNNNNNNNNNNNNNNNNNNNNNNNNNNNNNNNNNNNNNNNNNNNNNNNNNNNNNNNNNNNNNNNNNNNNNNNNNNNNNNNNNNNNNNNNNNNNNNNNNNNNNNNNNNNNNNNNNNNNNNNNNNNNNNNNNNNNNNNNNNNNUCCCGAGCAUCACUACUCCACUUCUUGCAGAGAUUCUAGCGGCUAGAAGUGCUGUGCAGUUGGCACUAGACAUGGACGUUCAGCGCCUUCAUGUGGAGCUGGAUAAUCAGGAGGUGGUGACAAUGCUGAAUGAAGAACGAAGGAACCUCUCCACCUUUGGUCCGGUCGUGGAAGAGAUAAAGGAGAUGUUGAGGUUGCGGCACGAGUUUAGAGUUAGCUGGGUUCGGCACUUGGCUAAUGGAGCAGCGCAUGGGUUAGCAAGAGAGGGGGUGUGUAAUGAGGUGUCUAGCGUUUAUGAAUUUCCUCCGGAUUGUAUUAUUCAGGUUGUAGUGGAUGAGAUCCCGAACUUUGUUUAAGUUUUAAAUAAAUGCAAGUUCCCCUCAAAAAAAAACAAGUCGAUGCCGAUGCACCUGUGCCAUUUACAGUGUUCGACAUCUGAUCAAUGGUGUCCCGAUUGCAAUUUUACCCUAGCGCCACAUUUACUGUCUUACUGACACAGUGGAACAGCAACAAGCUCAAGCUGGCCCUAGUCUAGAAGCAGUUUGCAACCACACCAACCUAGUUCCCACCACCUUGCCCUCCCUCUGGGCUCCUUACCCUCCUCUGCUUUGCUGAACUCUCGGCAGCUUCGCCCUGCGCCUUGCGCUUCUCCCAUGAGCCAUUAUUGGUGAGGAAGAAGUCUUUGACCUGACGGGCAAUCUUGUCAUCCCCUGAAUAUGAGAUCUUCACCUUCAGGUUGUUGUAAGUACAUGAUGUUUCACUUGGAUCGGUGUUAUCUCUGCUGUUGCAGGCCUUCUAUAGAACAAUGAACCAGUGUAAAGGAUUGGCCACAUGCUUAAACUCUCGU
rnacentral:lncRNA from 1 species